AGCCUUUAGCUCACCAAGUAUUAAAGGUCCUGCCUGCCCAGUGAAACUUUUAACGGCCGCGGUAUCCUAACCGUGCAAAGGUAGCGUAAUCACUUGUCUUCUAAAUAAAGACUCGUAUGAACGGCUAAAUGAGGACCUAACUGUCUCCUACGACCAAUUAAUGAAACUGAUCUUUCAGUCCAAAAGCUGAAAUACAAACAUAAGACGAGAAGACCCUGUGGAGCUUUUAACCUAGAUACUAUACCCACCACAGAUUCCACCAGUAAUAGUACCUCGUUUAAGUUGGGGCAACUAUGGAAAAAGAAAAACUUCCACAUCCCCCUAGGGCCAACCCCCCUCCCUCCCAGACUAACCGGUCAAACACUAAACACAUGACCCAGUCCUACUGAUCAAUGAACCAAGUUACCCCAGGGAUAACAGCGCAAUCCCCUUUCAGAGUUCCUAUCGCCAAGGGGGCUUACGACCUCGAUGUUGGAUCAGGACACCCAAAUAGUGCAGCAACUAUUAACGGUUCGUUUGUUCAACGAUUAACAGUCCU
rnacentral:rRNA from 1 species